rnacentral:rRNA from 1 species
UUAACACAUGCAAGUCGAACGCGAAAGGGACUUCGGUCCUGAGUAAAGUGGCGCACGGGUGAGUAACGCGUAGAUAACCUGUCUUCAUGUCUGGAAUAAUACGCCGAAAGGGGUACUAAUACCGGAUAUUCUUGCUUUUCAUAAGUUAUGCAAGCAAAGGUGGCCUCUGCAUAUGCUACUGCAUGAAGAGGGGUCUGCGUACCAUUAGCUAGUAGGUGGGGUAAUGGCCUACCUAGGCGACGAUGGUUAGCGGGUCUGAGAGGAUGAUCCGCCACACUGGCACUGGAACACGGGCCAGACUCCUACGGGAGGCAGCAGUGAGGAAUAUUGCGCAAUGGGGGAAACCCUGACGCAGCGACGCCGCGUGAGUGAAGGAAGGCCUUCGGGUCGUAAAGCUCUGUCAAGAGGAAAGAAGUGUACAAUGGCUAAUACCUGUUGUAUUUGACGGUACCUCUAAAGGAAGCACCGGCUAACUCCGUGCCAGCCGCAGC